UAUAAGACCCUAUUGGGUGGAGGUGGAGAGGUGUCCAUCUGUACGGGAGCUUAGCGCCACCGUUAGACAUCUUUACAGGAGGUUAGCGACGUUAGCGCCACCGUUAGACAUCUUUACAGGAGGUUAGCGACGUUAGCGCCACCGUUAGACAUCUUUACAGGAGGUUAGCGACGUUAGCGCCACCGUUAGACAUCUUUACAGGAGGUUAGCGACGUUAGCGCCACCGUUAGACAUCUUUACAGGAGGUUAGCGCCACUGUUGUCCAUCUUUAAAGGAGGUUAGCGCCACU